rnacentral:rRNA from 1 species
GACGAACCGUGCGAACGUUAUUCGGAAUCACUGGGCUUAAAGCGCGUGUAGGCGGGGUGGCACGUCGGUCGCUGAAAGCCCCCGGCUCAACCGGGGAAGGGGCGCCGAUACGACCACCCUGGAGGGACGUAGGGGGACCUGGAACUUCCGGUGGAGCGGUGAAAUGCGUUGAGAUCGGAAGGAACGCCCGUGGCGAAAGCGAGGUCCUGGACGUUUACUGACGCUGAGACGCGAAAGCCAGGGGAGCGAACAGG